rnacentral:rRNA from 1 species
AGCGAACGCUGGCGGCAGGCCUAACACAUGCAAGUCGAACGGAUCCUUCGGGAUUAGUGGCGGACGGGUGAGUAACACGUGGGAACGUGCCUUUUGGUUCGGAACAACUCAGGGAAACUUGAGCUAAUACCGGAUAAGCCCUCGGGGAAGAUUAUCGCCAUUAGAGCGGCCCGCGUCUGAUUAGCUAGUUGGUGGAGGUAAAGGCUCACCAAGGCUACGAUCAGUAGCUGGUCUGAGAGGAUGAU